CGGGUUUUGUGUUUACUGUAAUGAAUUGUGGGUGAUUAUGUUAGUGGUGUUUGUAUUUGAGCUUGGGCUUGACGGGGUUUGUUCGUGAUGAUUGGUUGUUGGUUAUGAACUUAGAAUCUUGGAUUUUAUUUUUUGAUUUGGUUAAUUCAAUGGGAUUUUGUGUAAUGUACUACUACGAUUAGUACUUUGUUUUUGGGUGGUGAAUUUAUAAGAUUUGGAAUCUUUAUGGAAGAACAAGGAAAGAAAAUCUGCAAAAAAGACAAUAUUAGUCAAAUUCUCCCACCGUUUCAUUUUAAAGAUGUUUACAGCUUUAGGAACCUACUUUUCAUCCUGAGUUUUCAUCCCACUGGGGAUUGGCGGCUUCAGCUUCAUUGUUGCUGAGACUAGUGGCCCAUUGGUGUCGGGUACGGUUUAUUGAUACAUAGGAGUUUAUAGGCUUAAUGACUUGAAGCAACGUGUUUGCUUACUUGCCAAAGCUUUUAACGUGUUUCGGGAGUGAUACACAUGGAGAAUACCAAUGGCUACACAUUCCAGGUUUGAGCAUUCGCUUGCUGUCUAUUUG